rnacentral:lncRNA from 1 species
CUCAUUUACAGUCUGGUGCUCUGAAUUCAACCAGCAAAAAUCCCCUUUCCUUUCCUUAUCAUACCUGUACAACCUGGCUGACAGUCACAUAGGAGAAGCCCUGCUGAGUUUGCAAGAGUGAAUGCACUGCUGUCAGUUGCAGGAGGGGCUUUGUCCACAGUGGGACGAGGUCCCACCUGAUCCUGCUCCCACACCACUAAGCAUCUGCUCUGGAGCAAGGUGUUUGACUGGGGAGGAGGUCAGGUUGACAUAUCAGGAGUGCUUGAUUUCCAGCCCUGGCUUUCCCAGUGAGCCUGCACAGAAGGCUGUUCGCCCAUGAAAUCUGAUGAUCUACACAAAGACAAGAACAGAGAGGUGAACAAGAGCAUGGAGUCUGUAGGCACUGGCAUAAUGGCAUAGAAAUUCAACUUGGUGCUUGAAAAAUGGCUUUUCUUCUUCCCUUUUUCUUUUAGAAAUGUGGCACCCCACUGGCAAGGCUCUCUGGGAUUCAGUAUAAGGGCUGCAGACAAACAGGAAUGAAGGAAUAAAGAGGAACACUCAGAGGGGUGAGGACGGAGGGAGGCUUGGAUGCAGAGGAGGAGACUGAGCAUGGACAGUGAGAAGCCUUUCCCAGGAUGACUCCCACUCUGGAGAGGACAGCUGAGUGCCUACCAUCGGGGCUGUACUGGAGAGACACCAGUUUGAAGAGUGUACAUCAGAAAACGAUCACAGCCCGUUCACAUGGUGUCUGCUGGGCCUAUUGUCAGCUAAUCGAGACCAGCCUUGCUCCACCCAAGUCAGUGUGGCAUCCAGGGAGGCUGGUGAGGAAUAAGCUGAAGCGUGAGUGUGAAGGGCACUGUCAGUUCUGCAGAAAUGGCUCUUAUUUCACAGGGCUAACGUCACAUCCAGAGUGCUCACAGCAGUCUUUGUGCAGGUAUCCUCUGGGGAGUGAGUGAGAAGCAGCUAUUCUGAGCUAUCCCCUUAUUUAGGUAAGCCACAUCUAUAAUAUCUGAUGAUUCCCUUUUAAUUUCAUCCUAUUUCUCCUAGCUAAAGCCCCUUGUUCCACCUUAAUUUAUCCCUUCUCCCCCUUAACACCCUUCAAACAUUUCCCUUCCUAGCAAUUUAGCCAGACUUUAAUCUCACCUAGUUAUUCAUUCAUCAGGACCCAAUCCCUCCUUCCCCUCCACCAACUCUGCACCACCUCCAGCGUGUGUGCUGCUAAUGAGCACGACUGAGCACGGGGAUCCUGGUGGCACUACACCCAGGGCUGCUCAGCCUCUGACCACAGCAUCACUUGUCCCAUGCUUGCUGACCCUCCCUCCACCCCUCCCUUGCACUUCCAUCACCACCAGAUGCAAAAUGAAGGGCUGUUUUCCUCCUGCUGGCAGCCUCACGUGUCUAUU